GCAGGCAGAUCCUCUUCGGAGGUGACGCCUGUGGAACGAGCGGCGGACGGGUGAGUAACACGUGGGCAACCUGCCUGUAAGAUUGGGAUAACCCCGGGAAACCGGGGCUAAUACCGGAUAAUACUUUUCGUUGCAUAACGAGAAGUUGAAAGGCGGCUUUUAGCUGUCACUUACAGAUGGGCCCGCGGCGCAUUAGCUAGUUGGUAAGGUAACGGCUUACCAAGGCGACGAUGCGUAGCCGACCUGAGAGGGUGAUCGGCCACACUGGGACUGAGACACGGCCCAGACUCCUACGGGAGGCAGCAGUAGGGAAUCUUCCGCAAUGGACGAAAGUCUGACGGAGCAACGCCGCGUGAGUGAUGAAGGUUUUCGGAUCGUAAAACUCUGUUGUCAGGGAAGAACAAGUGCCGUUCAAAUAGGGCGGCACCUUGACGGUACCUGACCAGAAAGCCCCGGCUAACUACGUGCCAGCAGCCGCGGUAAUACGUAGGGGGCAAGCGUUGUCCGGAAUUAUUGGGCGUAAAGCGCGCGCAGGCGGUCCUUUAAGUCUGAUGUGAAAGCCCACGGCUUAACCGUGGAGGGCCAUUGGAAACUGGAGGACUUGAGUACAGAAGAGGAGAGUGGAAUUCCACGUGUAGCGGUGAAAUGCGUAGAGAUGUGGAGGAACACCAGUGGCGAAGGCGACUCUCUGGUCUGUAAC
rnacentral:rRNA from 1 species